UACGUAGGGGGCUAGCGUUGUCCGGAAUCAUUGGGCGUAAAGAGCGUGUAGGCGGUCCGGUAAGUCCGCUGUGAAAGUCGGGGGCUCAACCCUCGAAUGCCGGUGGAUACUGUCGGGCUAGAGUGCGGAAGAGGCGAGUGGAAUUCCUGGUGUAGCGGUGAAAUGCGUAGAGAUGUGGAGGACACCGAUGGCGAAGGCAGCCCCCUGGGUCGAAGAUUGACGCUCAUGCACGAAAGCGUGGGGAGCAAA
rnacentral:rRNA from 1 species